rnacentral:rRNA from 1 species
GGACCUUCGGGCCUUGCACUAUUGGAGUGGCCGAUAUCGGAUUAGCUAGUUGGUGGGGUAAAGGCCUACCAAGGCGACGAUCCGUAGCUGGUUUGAGAGGACGACCAGCCACACUGGGACUGAGACACGGCCCAGACUCCUACGGGAGGCAGCAGUGGGGAAUUUUGGACAAUGGGGGAAACCCUGAUCCAGCCAUCCCGCGUGUGCGAUGAAGGCCUUCGGGUUGUAAAGCACUUUUGUCAGGAAAGAAAUCGCCCGGGAUAAUACUCGGGUGGAUGACGGUACAGAAGA